UGGGAAGUGAUGAUACUCCUGACCUUGACGCCACGCUGAUUUCUCACGAUAUUCAGAUUGGCUGAUCCCC